rnacentral:rRNA from 1 species
AGUGAACGCUGGCGGUAGGCCUAACACAUGCAAGUCGAACGGCAGCACAGGAGAGCUUGCUCUCUGGGUGGCGAGUGGCGGACGGGUGAGGAAUACAUCGGAAUCUACUUUUUCGUGGGGGAUAACGUAGGGAAACUUACGCUAAUACCGCAUACGACCUACGGGUGAAAGCAGGGGAUCUUCGGACCUUGCGCGACUGAAUGAGCCGAUGUCGGAUUAGCUAGUUGGCGGGGUAAAGGCCCACCAAGGCGACGAUCCGUAGCUGGUCUGAGAGGAGGAUAAGCCACACUGGAACUGAGACACGGUCCAGACUCCUACGGGAGGCAGCAGUGGGGAAUAUUGGACAAUGGGCGCAAGCCUGUUCCAGCCAUACCGCGUGGGUGAAGAAGGCCUUCGGGUUGUAAAGCCCUUUUGUUGGGAAAGAAAUCCAGCUGGUUAAUACCCGGUUGGGAUGACGGUACCCAAAGAAUAAGCACCGGCUAACUUCGUGCCAGCCGCCGCCGCCG